rnacentral:rRNA from 1 species
UACGUAGGGUGCAAGCGUUAAUCGGAAUUACUGGGCGUAAAGCGUGCGCAGGCGGUUUUGCAAGGCUGAUGUGAAAUCCCCGGGCUUUACCUGGGAACUGCAUUGGAGACUGCAAGGCUAGAGUGCGGCAGAGGGGGGUAGAAUUCCACGUGUAGCAGUGAAAUGCGUAGAGAUGUGGAGGAAUACCGAUGGCGAAGGCAGCCCCCUGGGAUGACACUGACGCUCAUGCACGAAAGCGUGGGGAGCAUACAGG